CAAAUGCUCGCCACAAUAAUAUAUGUCUAUAUUAUUGAAAAGUAGUAAUACGCAAUCUGACUUACGGUUUCUUCAGGUUUAUUCUUUGUUACGGAUACAUAAUAAAACAUAAUAAAUGUUACAGGAUAGUGUACAUUCAACAGCAGAUGGUAAUUGCUGGACUUCUUUUGGGAGAGUUACAUCGUUGUACAGAGCCAAGCCAAGACUGAGAGACCUCGUGUCCCUCUGUUACUAACGUCAGCAUAUAACUCUAGCCAUAUAAGGACAAGACCCCCGAAUCCACAUUCCAGAGCUCUCG